rnacentral:rRNA from 1 species
UGAGGGAAUAUUUGGGGGCAAUGGGCGCAAGCCUGACCCAGCAACGCCGCGUGAAGGAAGAAGGCUUUCGGGUUGUAAACUUCUUUUGUCAGGGAAGAUGAACAGACUGUACCUGACGAAUAAGCCACGGCUAACUACGUGCCAGCAGCCGCGGUAAUACGUAGGUGGCAAGCGUUGUCCGGAUUUACUGGGUGUAAAGGGCGUGUAGGCGGGAUUGCAAGUCAGGCGUGAAAACCAGGGGCUCAACCUCUGGCCUGCGUUUGAAACUGUAGUUCUUGAGUACUGGAGAGGUUGACGGAAUUCCUAGUGUAGCGGUAGAAAUGCGUAGA